rnacentral:rRNA from 1 species
UUGUGGGGGGAAAAGCCUCACAAGGGGUAUUCGGGUACCCGCCUGAGAGGCCGACCGCCCAACUGGGACUGAGACACGGCCCAGAUUCCUGCGGGAGGCACCAGUGGGGAAUAUUGCACAAUGGGCGAAAGCCUGAUGCAGCGACGCCGCGUGGGGGAUGACGGCCUUCGGGUUGUAACCUCUUUUACCACCAACGCAGGCUCCACGUUCUCGUGGGGUUGACGGUAGGUGGGGAAUAAGGACCGGCUAACUACGUGCCAGCAGCCGCGGUAAUACGUAGGGUCCGAGCGUUGUCCGGAAUUAUUGGGCGUAAAGAGCUCGUAGGCGGCGUGUCACGUCUGCUGUGAAAGACCGGGGCUUAACUCCGGUUCUGCAGUGGAUACGGGCAUGCUAGAGGUAGGUAGGGGAGACUGGAAUUCCUGGUGUAGCGGUGAAAUGCGCAGAUAUCAGGAGGAACACCGGUGGCGAAGGCGGGUCUCUGGGCCUUACCUGACGCUGAGGAGCGAAAGCAUGGGGAGCGAACAGGAUUAGAUACCCUGGUAGUCCAUGCCGUAAACGUUGGGCGCUAGGUGUGGGGACUUUCCACGGUUUCCGCGCCGUAGCUAACGCAUUAAGCGCCCCGCCUGGGGAGUACGGCCGCAAGGCUAAAACUCAAAGGAAUUGACGGGGGCCCGCACAAGCGGCGGAGCAUGUUGCUUAAUUCGACGCAACGCGAAGAACCUUACCAAGGUUUGACAUCACCCGUGGACCUGUAGAGAUACAGGGUCAUUUAGUUGGUGGGUGACAGGUGGUGCAUGGCUGUCGUCAGCUCGUGUCGUGAGAUGUUGGGUUAAGUCCCGCAACGAGCGCAACCCUUGUUCUAUGUUGCCAGCACGUUAUGGUGGGGACUCAUAGGAGACUGCCGGGGUCAACUCGGAGGAAGGUGGGGACGACGUCAAGUCAUCAUGCCCCUUAUGUCUUGGGCUGCAAACAUGCUACAAUGGCCGGUACAAUGGGCGUGCGAUACCGUAAGGUGGAGCGAAUCCCUUAAAGCCGGUCUCAGUUCGGAUUGGGGUCUGCAACUCGACCCCAUGAAGGUGGAGUCGCUAGUAAUCGCGGAUCAGCAACGCCGCGGUGAAUACGUUCCCGGGCCUUGUACACACCGCCCGUCACGUCAUGAAAGUCGGCAACACCCGAAACUUGUGGCCUAACCCUUCGGGGAGGGAAUGAGUGAAGG